CUAUGUCUACAAUUCAGGUGGACUCGGGGAUAUCCAGGAAGCUGAAAAAGAAGGCAAAAUUUACUGGAGUUACUUAAGAAAGCUAGGGAAAUCCUAUGGACAUACAUCUUGGAAUCAGUGUAAAGAAGUCUUCCUUGGUACUGAAGAAGGUAAUGUGAAUGUGAAAGAAACAGAAACACAUGACAAUGUUCAGAUUCAUGAAAAAUAUUGCAGUGGAGGGAAACCCUA
rnacentral:lncRNA from 1 species